UACAGAGGGGGCAAGCGUUGUUCGGAAUUAUUGGGCGUAAAGGGCGCGCAGGCGGCUCUGUAAGUCAGAUGUGAAAGCCCCGGGCUUAACCUGGGAAGUGCACUUGAUACUGCGUCGCUUGAGUGUCGGAGGGGGUGGCGGAAUUCCCGGUGUAGAGGUGAAAUUCGUAGAUAUCGGGAGGAACACCUGUGGCGAAGGCGGCCACCUGGACGACAACUGACGCUGAGACGCGAAAGCGUGGGUAGCAAACAGG
rnacentral:rRNA from 1 species